rnacentral:rRNA from 1 species
GUGUCCCGACGGGGGUAGUUUUUUUUUCUUUGUUCGAUCACUGAAGUUAAGCAAUGUCGGGCCUGGUCAGUACUUGGAAGGGUGACCACCUGGGAACACCGGGUGCUGUAGGCU